rnacentral:rRNA from 1 species
GAGUGAUGAAGGCCUUCGGGUCGUAAAACUCUGUCCUCAAGGAAGAUAAUGACGGUACUUGAGGAGGAAGCCCCGGCUAACUACGUGCCAGCAGCCGCGGUAAUACGUAGGGGGCUAGCGUUAUCCGGAUUUACUGGGCGUAAAGGGUGCGUAGGCGGUCUUUCAAGUCAGGAGUGAAAGGCUACGGCUCAACCGUAGUAAGCUCUUGAAACUGGGAGACUUGAGUGCAGGAGAGGAGAGUGGAAUUCCUAGUGUAGCGGUGAAAUGCGUAGAUAUUAGGAGGAACACCAGUUGCGAAGGCGGCUCGCUGGACUGUAACUGACGCUGAGGCACGAAAGCGUGGGGAGCAAACAGGAUUAGAUACCCUGGUAGUCCACGCUGUAAACGAUGAGUACUAGGUGUCGGGGGUUACCCCC